AGAGUUUGAUCCUGGCUCAGGAUGAACGCUGGCGGCGUGCCUAAUACAUGCAAGUCGAGCGAAUGGAUUAAGAGCUUGCUCUUAUGAAGUUAGCGGCGGACGGGUGAGUAACACGUGGGUAACCUGCCCAUAAGACUGGGAUAACUCCGGGAAACCGGGGCUAAUACCGGAUAAUAUUUUGAACUGCAUGGUUCAAAAUUGAAAGGCGGCUUCGGCUGUCACUUAUGGAUGGACCCGCGUCGCAUUAGCUAGUUGGUGGGGUAAAGGCCUACCAAGGCGACGAUCUGUAGCGGGUCUGAGAGGAUGAUCCGCCACACUGGAACUGAGACACGGUCCAGACUCCUACGGGAGGCAGCAGUGGGGAAUUUUGGACAAUGGGGGCAACCCUGAUCCAGCCAUGCCGCGUGAGUGAAGAAGGCCUUCGGGUUGUAAAGCUCUUUCGGCGGGGAAGAAAUCGCAUUCUCUAAUACAGGAUGUGGAUGACGGUACCCGAAUAAGAAGCACCGGCUAACUACGUGCCAGCAGCCGCGGUAAU
rnacentral:rRNA from 1 species